rnacentral:rRNA from 1 species
UACGUAGGGGGCUAGCGUUGUCCGGAAUCAUUGGGCGUAAAGAGCGCGUAGGCGGCCAGAUAAGUCCGGUGUGAAAGUCAAAGGCUCAACCUUUGAAUGCCGCUGGAAACUGUCUGGCUAGAGUCCGGGAGGGGCGAGUGGAACUCCUGGUGUAGCGGUGAAAUGCGCAGAUAUCAGGAGGAACACCAAUGGCGAAGGCAGCUCGCUGGAACGGUACUGACGCUGAGGCGCGAAAGCGUGGGGAGCGAACAGG